rnacentral:rRNA from 1 species
ACCCAAUAGAUACCCGGGUAGUCCACGCCCUAAACGAUGCAUAUUUGGUGUGGGCAGUUCAUUCUGUCCGUGCCGGAGCUAAACGCGUUAAAUAUGCCGCCUGGGGAGUACAGUCGCAAGGCUGAAACUCAAAGGAAUUGACGGGGGCCCGCACAAGCGGUGGAGCAUGUGGUUCAAUUCGACGCAACGCGAAGAACCUUACCUGGGCUCGAACGGCUGGCCAACGGCGGUGGAAACAUCGCUACCCCGCAAGGGGGUCCAGUCGAGGUGCUGCAUGGCUGUCGUCAGCUCGUGUCGUGAGAUGUUGGGUUAAGUCCCGCAACGAGCGCAACCCUUGUCCUGUGUUGCCAUACCGAAAGGUGGAACUCGCAGGAGACCGCCAGGGAUAACCUGGAGGAAGGUGGGGAUGACGUCAAGUCCUCAUGGCCUUUAUGUCCAGGGCUACACACGUGCUACAAUGGACGGUACAAAGCGCAGCGAACUCGCGAGAGGGAGCCAAUCGCAAAAAACCGUUCUCAGUUCGGAUUGCAGG